UUUUUUAUUAAUUAUCAAAUUUAUGCACAAGAUAAACAGAAACCGACAAUAAACAAAGACCGACAAGACAGAAACUACGUAACAAAAAGCGUCGUAUAUAAGCAGAUCACUCAAAAUAAAAUUCAAAUACCAAUACCAAUACCAUUAAAGAAACACACCUCUUCCCUAAAAAAAAACACAUAUAAACCCAAAGUCAACACCAAAACAUUUUAACAUUAAUAUUGAUGGCUCGUUUGUUCCUUCUAAUGGCAGCACUUCCAUUGGAGGUAUGAUCAGAGAUGAAUUUGGAAAAAAGAUUCAAUAUUUUCAUUCUAAAAUUAAUUCCAGCGGCAACACAUUAACAACUUAAAUGACAGCUUUGAACUAUGGAAUCAGUCUUGCCCACAAUCUUUGUCUCAAACAUGUUAUCUUUGAGGUUGAUUCUUCGACGGUGCAUACUUUUGUUCAUACUUCAUACAUGCUGGUUUUACUGCUUCUUUAGGCCAUAGAGCUUCGUAUACUUUAUGUAUUUUAGAGAAUUCUAGUCCUUUGCUAGACUCGUUCAUUUUUGCUGAUUGCAAGACUUCUUUCUUGUAAUCUUCUUGCUUAUCGGUAUUUAAUUCCAUUUAUACCAAUAAAAAUAAAAAAAUGUAAUUGAAAUAUUAUGUGAUCAUCAAUGACGUUAUUCUUUCCGUUCUUUAAUUUUAUAAACUUUG
rnacentral:lncRNA from 1 species